rnacentral:rRNA from 1 species
UACGGAGGGACUAGCGUUGUUCGGAAUUACUGGGCGUAAAGCGCACGUAGGCGGAUUUGUAAGUCAGGGUGAAAUCCCGGGGCUCAACCUCGGAACUGCCUUUGAUACUGCAAAUCUCGAGUCCGGAAGAGGUGAGUGGAAUUCCUAGUGUAGAGGUGAAAUUCGUAGAUAUUGCAAGAACACCAGUGGCGAAGGCGGCUCACUGGCCCGGUAUGACGCUGAGGUGGCGAA